UACGUAGGGCGCAAGCGUUAUCCGGAAUUAUUGGGCGUAAAGAGCUCGUAGGCGGUUUGUCGCGUCUGUCGUGAAAGCUUGGGGCUUAACCCCAAGUCUGCGGUGGAUACGGGCAGACUAGAGGCAGGUAGGGGAGAACGGAAUUCCCGGUGUAGCGGUGAAAUGCGUAGAUAUCGAGAGGAACACCUGCGGCGAAGGCGGGUAGCUGGGCCGACACUGACGCUGAGGCGCGAAAGCCAGGGGAGCGAACGGG
rnacentral:rRNA from 1 species